UACGCAGGGGGCUAGCGUUGCUCGGAAUCACUGGGCGUAAAGCGCACGUAGGCGGCUUCUUAAGUCAGGGGUGAAAUCCUGGAGCUCAACUCCAGAACUGCCUUUGAUACUGAGGAGCUUGAGUCCGGGAGAGGUGAGUGGAACUGCGAGUGUAGAGGUGAAAUUCGUAGAUAUUCGCAAGAACACCAGUGGCGAAGGCGGCUCACUGGCCCGGUACUGACGCUGAGGCGCGAGAGCGUGGGGAGCAAACAGG
rnacentral:rRNA from 1 species